UACGUAGGUGGCAAGCGUUGUCCGGAUUUACUGGGCGUAAAGAGCGUGCAGGCGGUCGUUCAAGUCGCGUGUGAAAGCCCCCGGCUCAACUGGGGAGGGUCACGCGAUACUGAUCGACUCGAAGGCAGGAGAGGGAAGUGGAAUUCCCGGUGUAGUGGUGAAGUGCGUAGAUAUCGGGAGGAACACCAGUGGCGAAGGCGACUUCCUGGGCUGUUCUUGACGCUGAGGCGCGAAAGCUAGGGGAGCGAACGGG
rnacentral:rRNA from 1 species